rnacentral:rRNA from 1 species
AAAACUGAGGUGGUAUACGAUGGUUCCGCGUCUGAUUAGCUAGUUGGUGGGGUAAUGGCCUACCAAGGCAACGAUCAGUAGCCGGCCUGAGAGGGUGAACGGCCACAUUGGGACUGAGACACGGCCCAAACUCCUACGGGAGGCAGCAGUGGGGAAUAUUGCACAAUGGGGGAAACCCUGAUGCAGCGACGCCGCGUGAGUGAAGAAGUAUUUCGGUAUGUAAAGCUCUAUCAGCAGGGAAGAAAAACCGGCCAUAGGGUCGCUAGACGGUACCUGAUUAAGAAGCCCCGGCUAACUACGUGCCAGCAGCCGCGGUAAUACGUAGGGGGCAAGCGUUAUCCGGAUUUACUGGGUGUAAAGGGAGCGUAGACGGCAGCGCAAGUCCGAAGUGAAAUGCCGGGGCUUAACCCCGGAACUGCUUUGGAAACUGAGCAGCUAGAGUGCAGGAGAGGUAAGUGGAAUUCCUAGUGUAGCGGUGAAAUGCGUAGAUAUUAGGAGGAACACCAGUGGCGAAGGCGGCUUACUGGACUGUAACUGACGUUGAGGCUCGAAAGCGUGGGGAGCAAACAGGAUUAGAUACCCUGGUAGUCCACGCGGUAAACGAUGAUUACUAGGUGUUGGGGGACCAAGGUCCUUCG